UAGAGACACGACAGUUUUUAGACAAUCUUGUUUCACAUAGACGAGUCAGCUUUACGAUUAAAGAGAAACAGUUGUGUCUAUCACGCGGCACAUACCAAGACGAAACUGUUUUGUCUACGACGAUGCAACGCAUACAAUUGUAUAUUCAUCAGUAGAGAACGCCCAGACAGAGAAGACAG